GUGCUCACUUCAAUGCACGUAUACUGAAAUUGCAAUGAUAGAGAGAUGAUCAUGGCCACUCCGCAAAGAUCACAUGCAAGUUCCUGAAGAGUGACAUAUUUUU